rnacentral:rRNA from 1 species
GCUUAACACAUGCAAGUCGAGCGAGAAUCGUUUUGCUGAAGGCUUCGGUCUGACGCAGAAUGAGGAAAGCGGCGAACGGGUGAGUAACGCGUGGGCAACCUGGCCUUAAGAAAAGGAUAGCCCCCGGAAACGGGGAGUAAUACUUUAUGAGAAUAGAAAAGGGCAUCCUAUUUCUAUUCAAAGCGCAAGCGCUUAAGGAUGGGCCCGCGUAUCAUUAGCUAGUUGGUGAGAUAACAGCCCAACAAGGCAACGAUGAUUAGCCGGUCUGAGAGGGCGAACGGCCACAUUGGAACUGAGAGACGGUCCAAACUCCUACGGGAGGCAGCAGUGGGGAAUAUUGCGCAAUGGAGAAGAACUCUGACGCAGCAAUACCGCGUGAGCGAAGAAGGUCUUCGGAUCGUAAAGCUCUGUUAUCAGGGAAGAAGAAAAUGACGGUACCUGAUGAGCAAGUCCCGGCUAACUACGUGCCAGCCGCCGCAGUAAUAC